rnacentral:rRNA from 1 species
UACAGAGGUGGCAAGCGUUGUUCGGAAUUACUGGGCGUAAAGGGCGCGUAGGCGGCCUUCUAAGUCAGACGUGAAAUCCCCCGGCUUAACCUGGGAACUGCGUCUGAUACUGGGAGGCUAGAGUGCGGGAGAGGGAUGCGGAAUUCCAGGUGUAGCGGUGAAAUGCGUAGAUAUCUGGAGGAACACCGGUGGCGAAGGCGGCAUCCUGGACCGACACUGACGCUGAGGCGCGAAAGCUAGGGUAGCAAACGGGG